AAAUUCUAAUUUAAACAGUGACAAAUCUGAGGAAUUAUCACAGAUUGAAGUGAAACUAGAGGACGUUUUGGAAUUAAUUGAGAAACUUAACAGUAACGAGUCACCGGGACCAGAUGGCAUCCACCCAAGAGUUCUGAAAGAA